rnacentral:rRNA from 1 species
CGGGUGAGUAACGCGUGGAUAAUCUGCCCUUUCAGUGGGGAAUAACCCGGGGAAACUCGGGCUAAUACCGCAUGAGACCACAGUGUCUACGGACACAGAGGUUAAAGAUUUAUCGCUGAAGGAUGAGUCCGCGUAUGAUUAGCUUGUUGGUGGGUAAGGCCUACCAAGGCUCCGAUCAUUAGCUGGUCUGAGAGGAUGACCAGCCACACUGGAACUGAGACACGGUCCAG